UACGGGGGGGGCAAGCGUUGUUCGGAAUUAUUGGGCGUAAAGAGCUCGUAGGCGGUUUGUCGCGUCUGCUGUGAAAACUCGGGGCUUAACUCCGGGCCUGCAGUGGGUACGGGCAGACUAGAGUGCGGUAGGGGAGACUGGAAUUCCUGGUGUAGCGGUGAAAUGCGCAGAUAUCGGGAAGAACACCCGUGGCGAAGGCGGCUCUCUGGGACGGUACUGGACGCUGAGACGCGAAAGCGUGGGGAGCGAACAGG
rnacentral:rRNA from 1 species